rnacentral:lncRNA from 1 species
AUGGUGCUGGUCACCAGGCUCACCCUCAGAAGGAAUCAGAACUCCAGGAUCUCAAAAAUAAAUGAAAACGACAAGAAAGGAGCAAAUGGGAACCAAGUUCACCCCCUUACCCCCCGUUCACCCUCCGUGACAUGCGUGCCACACGCCCACAGCCAGACCCUCCCGGACGCACCUUCGGCCUCUCUCUUCCCUCACUCAGACAUCAGACUCAAUACUAGACAGUUUCUCAUACACAUGCCCAUUGCUGGAGCCAUUGAAAGCCCUGGGGUUUUUGUUGUUAGGCACACAGGGGUUGGACUGGUUCCCUAUACAGAUGUCUUUCUGGAAGCGGCCCGGCACAGCCCCGUGCAGGGCCGAGACCACCGGCUUGUUGCUCACAAGGGCCCGGAAGUCCGGCCUGGCCUUUGGUGCCCCAGCCACCGUGGGCUGCCUGAAGAAGUAGGAUUUGCUGCCGUGGAGCAAGCACUGGUCGUCCCCGAAAGUGGGGAUGAAAGGGUUCUGCGUGACCCGGUCGGGGUAGAGAGACUUGCUGAGCAUGUAGCCACCGCCGCCGCCGGGAUUGCCGUGGUGGUGAUGUCCCGUGGCUGGCGCCGCCGCCUUUCCAUCGUUGCUGCCACUAAAAGCGCUCUCGCCUGCCGGCAUCUCGAACAUGUGCGCGUAGGGGCUGCCGUCCAGGAAGCGGCCCUUGUCCUUGAGGCUCACGCUGCGCGGGGCCAGGGCGGCCUCUUCUUUCUGCAGGUCCACGAACGUGUCGUAGGAGUGUUGGCGCCGCAGCUUGUUCCGGGGCUUCUUCUGCGCCUUGGAGUUGGUGGGGCUCUGCGGGUACUUAGACGCUGCGGACGUCACGGCCGCCACUGGGGCGGCCGGCUGAUCCAACUCCUGCAGCGAGUUGUCCUCGCUGAUGUCGUACAGGUUGCCGGCCUUCUUGCACGCCUCGCAGCGGAUGCAGGCCGGCCUGCCCGAGUUCUGGCCAGCCACCACCGCCGUUGCUGCUGUCGUCGUCGAGUAGUUGUGCAGCUUGGAUGGGCAGCUGCGGCAGAAGUUGCCCCCAGGGCGCUCCUCCCAGUCCACGUUGGUCAGGUUCUUCUCCCAGGGGGCCGGGACCCCGCCGACGACCCCCCCGCCGUGCUUGUCGCCCGUGCCGUGCUUAAGAUGAUGAGCUCGGUUGGUACA